rnacentral:rRNA from 1 species
AAUCAACGCUGGCGGCGUGCCUAACACAUGCAAGUCGAGCGGGAAAGGGGGCUUCGGCCCCUGAGUAUAGCGGCGGACGGGUGAGUAACACGUGGGUAAUUUGCCCUUGGGUGUGGAAUAACUCAGGGAAACUUGAGCUAAUACCGCAUGACAUCCCCUUCACACACGAGUCGGGGAUCAAAGCCGGGGACCCUUCGGGGCCUGGCGCCUGAGGAGAAGCCCGCGCCCGAUUAGCUAGUUGGGAGGU